rnacentral:rRNA from 1 species
AACGAACGCUGGCGGCAUGCCUAACACAUGCAAGUCGAACGAGACCUUCGGGUCUAGUGGUGCACGGGUGCGUAACGCGUGGGAACCUGCCCUUAGGUUCGGAAUAACUCCCCGAAAGGGGUGCUAAUACCGGAUAAUGUCUUCGGACCAAAGAUUUAUCGCCUUUGGAUGGGCCCGCGUUGGGUUAGCUAGUUGGUAGGGUAAAAGCCUACCAAGGCGACGAUCCAUAGCUGGUCUGAGAGGAUGAUCAGCCACACUGGGACUGAGACACGGCCCAGACUCCUACGGGAGGCAGCAGUGGGGAAUAUUGGACAAUGGGCGAAAGCCUGAUCCAGCAAUGCCGCGUGAGUGAUGAAGGCCUUAGGGUUGUAAAGCUCUUUUACCCGGGAUGAUAAUGACAGUACCGGGAGAAUAAGCUCCGGCUAACUCCGUG